rnacentral:rRNA from 1 species
GACGAACGCUGGCGGCGUGCCUAAUACAUGCAAGUAGGACGCAGUUGCGAACGGGUGAGUAACGCGUAGGUAACUACCUAUUAGAGGGGGAUAACCAUUGGAUACGAUAGCUAAUACUGCCUACUUGUAGUUGGACCUGCGUUGUAUUAGCUAGUAGGGAGGGUAAUGGCCUACCUAGGCAGCGAUACAUAGCCGACCUUGAGGGGAGGACGGCCAAACUGGGACUGGGAAACAGGCCAGGCUCCUGAGGGGGGCAGCAGUAGGGGAUCUUCGGAAAUGGGGGGAAACCUGAACGAGCAAAGCCGGGUGAGUGAAGAAGGUUUUCGGGUCGUAAAGCUCUGUUGUGAAGGAAGCGGUACUUAAACAGAAAGGGACGGCUAACUACGUGCCAGCAGCCGCGGUAAUUC